GACGAACGCUGGCGGCGUGCCUAAUACAUGCAAGUUGAGCGCUGAAGGUUGGUACUUGUACCGACUGGAUGAGCAGCGAACGGGUGAGUAACGCGUGGGGAAUCUGCCUUUGAGCGGGGGACAACAUUUGGAAACGAAUGCUAAUACCGCAUAAAAACUUUAAACACAAGUUUUAAGUUUGAAAGAUGCAAUUGCAUCACUCAAAGAUGAUCCCGCGUUGUAUUAGCUAGUUGGUGAGGUAAAGGCUCACCAAGGCGAUGAUACAUAGCCGACCUGAGAGGGUGAUCGGCCACAUUGGGACUGAGAAACGGCCCAAACUCCUACGGGAGGCAGCAGUAGGGAAUCUUCGGCAAUGGACGAAAGUCUGACCGAGCAACGCCGAGUGAGUGAAGAAGGUUGUCGGAUCGGAAAACUCUGUUGGUAGAGAAGAACGUUGGUGAGAGUGGAAAGCUCAUCAAGUGACGGUAACUACCCAGAAAGGGACGGCUAACUACGUG
rnacentral:rRNA from 1 species